GACGAAGGACCCGAGCGUUAUCCGGAUUCAUUGGGUUUAAAGGGUGCGUAGGUGGAUUGAUAAGUCAGUGGUGAAAUCUCCAGGCUUAACCUGGAAACUGCCAUUGAUACUGUCAAUCUUGAAUAUGUUUGAUGUGGGCGGAAUAUGACAUGUAGCGGUGAAAUGCUUAGAUAUGUCAUAGAACACCGAUUGCGAAGGCAGCUCACUACACAGUUAUUGACGCUGAGGCACGAAAGCGUGGGGAUCAAACAGG
rnacentral:rRNA from 1 species